rnacentral:lncRNA from 1 species
AUGAACAUUCAUCUCUCCCAUUACCCACCCCAAUCGCUAUUCUUUCGCUGAAACUGCUAGAUCGUCUCCUCUUAUCGAUUCCCACUACUACGCCCCUAAUGAAUCGCAACUGAGUAACCGAUGAACCACAACUGCACCACCAGAUGAUCUCUCAUCGCCGCUCAUACCUUGUCACUCAACUCUUCUUCGCUUCACUUCAGCCCCGGAAGCCUUCAACAUGUAUAUGUAUGAUUAUUUGUACAUGGGACAUGUGAAUAUAGAAUGACUGGAUGAGGUCUUCAAAGUUACUCAGAUCAGAUUGGACAUGGAUCUGGUACAAAUAAACAUCUUAGAGAGGAUGCAGAAAUCGCUAUGCAAGGACUCAUCAAUUUUGCUUAAUAUACAUCUAGUAUACAUCUGCCAUUUUACUUUGGGGUAUGUGAAUGACAAGCGGAGUUUUGAGAAGAUGAUCAGAUUGAAUUAACAACU